rnacentral:rRNA from 1 species
UAAAUUUUUAUUUGGCUCCAUAUUGGGCGAAUUGGGCCCCAAUUUCCCAGUUCCCGGCCCCCCAGGCCCCCGGGUUUUUCGGGUAUUCCCCCCGGCCCCUUGUGUUUUGGGGUGAAAUUAAACCAUCUUAGUUGAGGCUUCUUAAGUUAUGUUGGAGCGCGGCAUACGGUUCAGUAACAAGUGGGCAACCUCCCCCUUAGGACGGGAACAAUCUCCGGAAAACUGAGGCUAAUUCCCAGAUAGAUGAAGACUCCUGGAAUGGUUCUUCACCCAAAGGACUUUAGGCCCAUGUUUUUCAUGUUGCCUAAGGAUGGGGCCGCGCCCGAUCAGGUUGUUGGUGAGGUAACGGCUCACCAAGCCUAUAACCGGUACGGGCCGUGAGAGCGGUAGCCCGGAGAUGGGCACUGAGAUAAGGGCCCAGGCCCUACGGGGCGCAGCAGUUGCGAAACCUCCGCAAUGCGCGAAAGCGUGACGGGGUCACCCCAAGUGCUGUCCGCUGAGGAUAGCUUUUGUUCGAUGUAAUGAGUCGAAAGAAUAAGGGGAGGGCAAGACUGGUGUCAGCCGCCGCGGUAAUACCAGCUCUCCGAGUGGUAGGGAUAAUUAUUGGGCUUAAAGCGUCCGUAGCCGGCCUGGUAAGUCUUCCGUUAAAUCCAGCGACCUAAUCGUUGGUCUGCGGGAGAUACUGUCAGGCUAGGGGGCGGAAGAGGCCGACGGUAUUCUCGGGGUAGGGGUGAAAUCCUAUAAUCCUGGGAGGACCACCAGUGGCGAAGGCGGUCGGCUAGAACGCGCUCGACGGUGAGGGACGAAAGCUGGGGGAGCGAACCGGAUUAGAUACCCGGGUAGUCCCAGCUGUAAACGAUGCGGGCUAGGUGUUGGAGCGGUCACGAGCCGCUUCUGUGCCGCAGGGAAGCCGUUAAGCCCGCCGCCUGGGGAGUACGGUCGCAAGGCUGAAACUUAAAGGAAUUGGCGGGGGAGCACCACAAGGCGUGAAGCUUGCGGUUUAAUUGGAGUCAACGCCGGGAAUCACUAGU